rnacentral:rRNA from 1 species
ACGAACGCUGGCGGCGUGCUUAACCCAUGCAAGUCGAACGGAAAGGCCCUGCUUUUGUGGGGUGCUCGAGUGGCGAACGGGUGAGUAACACGUGAGUAACCUGCCCUUGACUUUGGGAUAACUUCAGGAAACUGGGGCUAAUACCGGAUAGGAGCUACUGCUGCAUGGUGGGGGUUGGAAAGUUUCGGCGGUUGGGGAUGGACUCGCGGCUUAUCAGCUUGUUGGUGGGGUAGUGGCUUACCAAGGCUUUGACGGGUAGCCGGCCUGAGAGGGUGACCGGCCACAUUGGGACUGAGAUACGGCCCAGACUCCUACGGGAGGCAGCAGUGGGGAAUAUUGCACAAUGGGCGGAAGCCUGAUGCAGCAACGCCGCGUGCGGGAUGACGGCCUUCGGGUUGUAAACCGCUUUCGCCUGUGACGAAGCGUGAGUGACGGUAAUGGGUAAAGAAGCACCGGCUAACUACGU